AUUGAACGCUGGCGGCAGGCCUAACACAUGCAAGUCGAGCGGAUGAAGGGAGCUUGCUCCUGGAUUCAGCGGCGGACGGGCGAGUAAUGCCUAGGAAUCUGCCUGGUCGAGGGGGAUAACGUCCGGAAACGGGCGCUAAUACCGCAUACGACGUGAGGGAGAAAGUGGGGGAUCUUCGGACAAAACGCUACCAGAUGAGCCUAGGUCGGUUUGGCUAGUUGGAGGGGUAAGGGCGUACCAAGGCGACGUUCCGUAACAGGUCUGAGUGGAUGAUCAGUCACCCUGGACCUGGGACCCGGCCCAGACCCCUACGGGAGGCAGCGUUGGGGAAUUUUCGACAAUGGGCGAAGGCCUGCGCCAGCCAGGCCGCGUGUGUGUAGAAGGUCUUCGGUUUGUAAAGCACUUUAUGUUGGGAGGACGUGCAGUAAGUUAACUCCUUGCUGUUUUGACGUUACCGACAGAAUAAGCACCGCCUAACUUCUU
rnacentral:rRNA from 1 species